GGGGGCGACCUGGCUUCGACGUGGGUCGCGAAGCGGACUAGUGCAUACCGAGGACCAGCGACCUCGUAAAUCCAACUGGACUGCAAUAACUGCCAACGACGAGCGUUUCGCUCUAGCCGCUUAAUUGUGGCUGGCCUCCGCACCGGUUCGCUCAUGGACCGGGUAGCGCAAGCUACAGCGGAGUCAUAGACAUGAGCUAAGGUUCGAGCGCGCCGCGCGCUCGGGCACGAAAACCCAGCGGAUCGCCCGAGACCAGCCUGCCCGUCGGCGGAUCGAAGGUUAAAACCAAAUGGCGAGGCUAAGUAUGUAGAGCUGUUCGUAGAGGGCUUGCGGACGCGGGUUCGAUUCCCGCCGCCUCCACCA
rnacentral:tmRNA from 1 species